UACGUAGGGGCCUAGCGUUGUCCGGAUUUAUUGGGCGUAAAGAGCUCGUAGGCGGUUUGUCGCGUCUGCCGUGAAAGUCCGGGGCUCAACUCCGGAUCUGCGGUGGGUACGGGCAGACUAGAGUGCGGUAGGGGUGACUGGAAUUCCUGGUGUAGCGGUGGAAUGCGCAGAUAUCAGGAGGAACACCGAUGGCGAAGGCAGGUCACUGGGCCGCAACUGACGCUGGAGGAGCGGAAAGCAUGGGGAGCGAACAGG
rnacentral:rRNA from 1 species